AACGAACGCUGGCGGCAUGCCUAACACAUGCAAGUCGAACGAGACCUUCGGGUCUAGUUGCGCACGGGUGCGUAACGCGUGGGAACCUGCCCUUAGGUUCGGAAUAACUCCCCGAAAGGGGUGCUAAUACCGGAUAAUGUCUUCGGACCAAAGAUUUAUCGCCUUUGGAUGGGCCCGCGUUGGAUUAGCUAGUUGGUAGGGUAAAAGCCUAUCAAGGCGACGAUCCAUAGCUGGUCUGAGAGGAUGAUCAGCCACACUGGGACUGAGACACGGCCCAGAAUCCUACGGGAGGCAGCAGUGGGGAAUAUUGGACAAUGGGCGAAAGCCUGAUCCAGCAAUGCCGCGUGAGUGAUGAAGGCCUUAGGGUUGUAAAGCUCUUUUACCCGGGAUGAUAAUGACAGUACCGGGAGAAUAAGCUCCGGCUAACUCCGUG
rnacentral:rRNA from 1 species